ensembl:lncRNA
GUGACUGCCUGGCAGGACACUAUUGCCUGGGUAGCUCCAGUUUCUUUAUCAGUGCUCAGAUGUUUGAAUUUUUUCUUCUUUUUUUCCCAAUCAGUCUUAAUGUUGCAUUACUCUUUUCUCGAUCUACUUCCCAGUUUUCUCUCUCCAUGCAGCCAUGUUUCAGCUAGAACAGUACACAAAAGACAUAAAAAUUAGUAGAGAUACUACCAUAUAUAUAACCUGUUGCUCUUUGUUAAUGCCUUGGGACAUGCACUGCUUGUUUCUGUUUGCUCUGUUUGCAAGGCAGUGGUGAGGUGUUGAGGCUGAGGCACAGCCCCUGCUUUAGAGCAGCCUGUUUCCAAUAAAUGCAGCUUCUACGCAAUGCAAGGGAUGCACAGGGACCUGCAGAUGAUCUCAAUGAAUGGAAGAAAAUAAGCAACACAAUUUAUCACCUUAUUCCACACAGGCAUCGAGUGCGUUUCUGUUUGCUAUGGUGCGGGGCUGCCCACUGGCACUACCACAGUGCCAUCCUCAGCUCCGCAGCCUCAUUGCGCUCCUCUCCUCUGGGCCACCGUGCAGCUUCCUGCUCUGCUUAUUCAGCUCCGGAUUUCAGCACAAGGGCUGUGUCCCACAAACCAGAUCUCUACUCUUUCUAUUACUUUGGCUUUCCUUGGUGGCCACUUUCUCAUCCUGUUCUGGAAACUAGUCUUUAUCCCAGCUCUCUGGUGCAUGUACCAGGAACAGCAUCUCCUUAGCUCUGCACCUCCACUAGUGCCCUUACUAUGCCUUUGCUGCCAGUCCCCCUCUCUCAUUUGCAUGGUUACCCUUUCCUCUCUCACCUUCUCAUGGGUAGCUCUGCAUCUUCACGCUUCACGUGAUCAGGAGCCACCCAUCUUACCUAACCUCUGUGAGGGGCUGGUUUUGUGAGCUCAGAGUCAAGGUUUGUCUGUUGGGCUUGAGGGCUGCAGCAAGAGCAGUUUGUGCCCAGGAUGGUUCCUUCUGCCUUUCACUGUUAGGUUCUUGUCUAGCAGUGCUAGCCCUGGAAUGGGUUUCUCUGCUGAUGAGGUACGUGCAGUAUAUCCAAGGUGCACGCAUGUUUAUAUUCAUCACUCAUGAGGCCGGCUUUGCUCAUGUUUGCUGUGUGCAGUGGUGUUUCUGUGUUCAGCUGCCAACGCAUCAGUGAAAUGCAUUUGCAGCAAACCUUCUCCAAAGAGCUGGCUAGCUGGUGCUGAUGCUUGCAGCAAACUUUCUGCCACAUUGCUCAUCAUUCUCCGUGCUAUGGGAGAGUGGGAUGAACUUCCCCCCACUGCUCUCUGCAUCCCUGCCCCUGACAUGCUUGGGGAAGCUGUGGCACUGAACUGAGCAGGCUGGUGAGCUGGCCAAGCCUCUUUUUGCUGGUGUGCAGAUGAGCAAAGUUCCAGGCAGGCCCAUGUCCCAGCUGCUCACUUGGCACCUCUGGAAAUGCCGAUGUUCCCAGAAGCUCUUCCAGCCCCUAGUAACAUCCUAGGAAAUAGAGAUGUAAUCUCAGAAGGACACAGAUGUACUGCUGUCCUGUUUUUAAGUCUUGCUAAUGGACAGUUUCUCUCUCCAGCUCAUAUUCUUUCAGCCUAACUGCAUUCCCAGUUGAAGGCCACUGGGAAAGCCAUGUUUCCCAGCCUCCUGUAGGCAUGGCAGUGCCUUGGGGCAGCAGGGAGGUGCUCCCACCUUUCCACUGCCAGCAGUUGUGCUGGGGGAAAAGGGCUGAGCCCCAGCCAAGGCAUCCUCGGGUCCACAUUCCCAGGCUGUAUGCCCGGAUGACCCGGGAGCAAGGCAGAGGCAGGCUUCCUCUGGCCAGGGAAGGCCACUGCAGCUUUCCUUGUAAUGAUAGGUAUUGUGAGCAAACCACGAGGCUACGAUGUCCCCACAUCGCGCACGUCCCCACCUCUUUCCCUGUGUGUCGUAGCGUCCAUUUGGCCCAUCCUUUAGCUUGGUGGUUGUGAAAUGAAUCCAUCUGUUCUAAGAUGUUCUCAGGAGUUCUUGUUUGUAUUAAGCUCACCCCUAGGCUUAGCAGAGAUCACAGUCCCCGUCCUUCUUCCUCCCCUUCCCGCGGACAAGCCCUCUCCUUCACGAGCACUUCCACCCUCUCCCUGAAGGGCAGUGGCGGGGCAGCUGGUGGUUUCGAUUCAGGGCACGUUGGCAGCUUGGGGGCAGCCGGAGGAGCUGGGAUGCAGCUGGCCGGCGUUCGUGGUGUGGGUCCCUCGGGCUGCGUUGCUAGCCAAUGUUUUCUAAGUCUGUUUGUAAGAGUACCUAAUUUUAAAAUGAAAUGUGAAUAUAUAUUAUGUGUAGGUGCCAUGUAAGAUAGUGUUGUGCUAGGCAGCAGGAUGCUAACCUACUUUUUAAGCUUUUUUGGGGGGCAGGUAAAAAGCAUUUUUCUCUCACUUCAUUGCUCACAGAUCUAAUAUUGUAAAUAGUUUUUUAAAGAUAUUUAUUUCAUGGGCUUUCCACAGGUUCUUGUUCUGACUGGUGUGUUGGUUGGUGGGGCUGUAAUUGCCCAGCGUGCCGCAACCAAAGGGCUGGCUAUUGCGUGGGGGGGACGGGAUGGGAUGGGACGGGUUGGGGUGGGUGGUGGUGGUGGUGGUCGGUUUGGAUUUUUAACGUCACAUCAAAGUUGAAGCAUUAACUCUUUCUCUUCAUCUCAUUUUGAUGAUGUCAGGCCUGGUUGAUGGCCACGGUCCCUGGGGAAGCAGUUUGCUCCUGUGGCCAUUCCCCGGGGCGGGGGGCACUGCAAGCAAUAAGAUUUGUAGUAAUAAUGUCUGUUUCAAUGGCAGGGGCUCAUGGCCGGGUGGAAAUAACCCCGCUCCUGGCGGGGGCUCGGUUCAAGACGGCAUGUGUGGGGAUUCUUGGCUUAGGGAACUCCAGCGAUGCAGGAGGUGGGGGCUGCCUCACCCCCAAGGAAUCCCCCCAAAAUGGCCAGGAUAGGGUAGGUAGGUCCCGAUAGCAAACUCCUGCUAGUGAAUUCCUGCAGGGAGCAGCUGCCUUUGGGGCUCCUGUGGCACCUGAGGGUACGGGUGACCCAAGGGAGCGCACCGCUGCCACCGUUACAGUCCCAGUGCCGGCUCCAGAAGGUCGCGUGCUUGCCAUGCUGCAAUUUGAAUUUUCCUUCUAGGCGGUUCGAGGUCAUUUGGCUGGUUUUUACUAAGUGGGUUUGGAAUUUUCUUCUUGGUUUUUUUUAACCCCUUUUUUGCCUGGAGCUGUUUGCUGUGUGGGGAAGCAUCAGCGGCGUCGUUGCUGCUUUUAUGAUGAUGGGUCUCUGACUUCGGAGGGUGGCGCGGGGAGUGCUGCCGGGUGCCGGCCCUGCGGGACCCCUCACCAGCCCCACGGUUCCUUUGACCUUGGAGCAGGUGUGUAAAAAAAGAAAAAAAA